rnacentral:lncRNA from 1 species
AAUAUAAAUAAACAGGAAGGAGUGUGUCAUAUAUCAACAACACCUAAAAUUUCUAGCGGAACCGGCCAUCUUGAACGUCUGUGGAUGACUCAUAAGUUUUUGUCAACGAGGUAGAAGGUGUUUGUGUAUUGGAUCAGCUGUGUGCAUAGGCGUACCAUCUGGUAAAGCUCCUGUAUAUGCAAUCAAUUAACUGAAGUUAUUAGUAUAA